AUGCCAGACUUCAUCGCUUACACUUCUACAAUGAACAUUUCAUGGUUUCUACUUAUCCUCACAGGGACCUGGGCUGAAGUUCCGUCAAUAUACAAGUAUGGGGUGAAGGGAGGUUUCGUGUGUCUGGCUGUUGCUGAAUCCCCUGAGGAGCAUAAAGAACUUAAAUGGAAAUUCAAAAGUGCUGUAAUAGUUGAUAAUAAAGAGAUCUCUCCUCAAUACAAGGACAAGGUGCAUUAUAACCCAGUGAACCACUCUUUGUGCAUUAAGAAUCUGAAGGAAACUGACAGUGGAAUUUACUAUCCGAUUGUUGGAAAAUGGAAUUUAGAAACUAUUAUUGAGUACAAUGUAACAAUACUGGAAGCUGUUUCCAUACCAGUCAUGAAGGUGGUGUCUCUCUACUCCAACUCAAGUACGGGACAAUGUAACAUCACAGUGAACUGUUCUGUUGAAGAUGUCUGGGCGUUGUCUGUCUGUAACGGGCGUCACUGCACACUGUCACAACAGUCACUCACCGUAGUCAAUAUCACCAUCUCCAAUGACAACAACACUAUCCAGUGCACAGGAAAAAAUCACGUCAGCGCAAAGACCAAGUCACAACCCAUGAAGGACAUAUGUAUUGAGAAGGAUGGGAAAGCUUCCGAAUUCCCAGUUGGCAUCAUUGUGGUCAGUGUUACUGCUGGAUUGCUAUUCAUUAGUGUGAUUGUUGGUAUAUGUGUUGGUAUACGACGCAUCAAAUCAACGAGAAGAAGGGCCCGUAAAAACAAGCAGCCACUGCAGGUCAACCCAGUGAGCGCUCCACAAGGGGAAAGGCCGGGACCACAAAACACAGGGGGUUCUGACGUAACAACUAUCUACGUCACUGUAGUGAAACCAGGAGCAGCAGGAGUGGAGCUCCCGUCACCAGAAGAGAUGUCAGAGACACAGUCAGAGGCGCUCUACAGCACUGUGCAGCACCCAGCUGCAGAAGAGUCUCACCUAGUGGACAAAGUGGGCGCUACAAAAGAGGACAGGCCAGGGCCGCAGAGCCCUACUGAGACAGAGCCUACAUCAAUCUACAGCACUGUACAGAAACCAGCAGCAGCACAGCGUUGCCCAGUGGACAAAUACGGGAAUAAUCUCAACAAACCAGACAGAGCUGCUCAAUAGGAGAUAAACUACCCCUCCGUCCCUCUCACAGUUACCCUGCUAUUACAUUGACUAAGACUUGACCCAUAUACUCAGAUAGCGAAAAUCAAAACACAGGGGAAAUUGUGAACGAGGAAGAAUGACGGGAAAAUGUAAUAUAAAACAAAAAACAUUUUUACUUAUUUUACUUAUUUUUACUUCAUUAAUCAUUCCAUCUAUUAGCACUGUACAUGCUUUAUUAAAAAUACUUGUAUAUAAAACAGCUGAAUAAAAAAAAUGGGAAUCCCGUUGUUUGAUCCCAUCUUCAACGAACUGAAAAGAAGGUUGAGAAGACAGGCUCAACCAAACAAUAGCAAUAAAAAGACACGUUCAAUCAAUCAACUCAAUCAAUCAACAGUAUAUCAUAUUUUUUGGGUUAUCAUUUUUAUAAUAAGUACCAUAUAUCUAAUUAUUGGCUAAAAUUCACUAAUUGUAAAUUGCUCCGGAUAUGUAACUCACUGCUAAAUGACUAAAAUGUCAAAUGUAAAUGUUAGAUGAGAAAGCAUAUUUACAAAUAUCAAUAGAAAAGGUUCAAUCAACUUCUGUAGGAUCUGUAGGAUCUGUUACAUCUAGCUGGCUAUGUGGUAGAACUACACAGGUACUAUACAGGUAUAACCCUAUUACAGGGGCUGAGUCACUGGCUUACUGGUGUUCUUCCAUGCCGUCCAUGGGAGGGGUGCGUCACUUGAGUGGGUUGAGUCACUGACGUGGUCUUCCUGUCUGGGUUGGCCGAGGCGGAGAUCUUUGUGGGCUAUACUCGGCCUUGUCUCAGGAUGGUAAGUUGGUGUUUGAAGAUAUCCCUCUAGUGGUGUGGGGGCUGUGCUUUGGCAAAGUGGGUGGGGUUAUAUCUUGCCUGUUUGGCCUGUCCGGGGGUAUCAUCGGAUGGGGCCACAGUGUCUCCUGACCCCUCCUGUCUCAGCCUCCAGUAUUUAUGCUGCAGUAGUUUAUGUGUAGGGGGGCUAGGGUCAGUCUGUUAUAUCUGGAGUAUUUCUCCUGUCUUAUCCGGUGUCCUGUGUGAAUUUAAGUAUGCUCUCUCUAAUUCUCUCUUUUUCUCUUUCUUUCUUUCUCUCGGAGGACCUGAGCCCUAGGAUCUCAGGACUACCUGGCAUGAUGACUCCUUGCUGUCCACCUGGCCGUGCUGCUGCUCCAGUUUCAACUGCUCUGCCUGAGGCUAUGGAACCCUGACCUGUUCACCGGACGUGCUACCUGUCCCAGACCUGCUGUUUUCAACUCUCUAGAGACAGAAGGAGCGGUAGAGAUACUUUCAAUGAUCGGCUAUGAAAAGCCAACUGACAUUUACUCUUGAGGUGCUGACUUGUUGUACCCUCGACAACUACUGUGAUUAUUAUUAUUUGACCAUGCUGGUCAUUUAUGAACAUUUGAACAUCUUGGCCAUGUUCUGUUAUAAUCUCCACCCGGCACAGCCAGAAGAGGACUGGCCACCCCUCAUAGCCUGGUUUCUCUCUAGGUUUCUUCCUAGGUUUUGGCCUUUCUAGGGAGUUUUUCCUAGCCACUGUGCUUCUACACCUGUAUUGCUUGCUGUUUGGGGUUUUAGGCUGGGUUUCUGUACAGCACUUUGAGAUAUCAGCUGAUGUAAGAAGGGCUAUAUAAAUUGAUUUGAUUUUGAUUUGAUAACAGUCAAUUAUGGCUAAAAGCAGAAGCAUUUAUCCUAAAAGCAGAAGCUCACAUGUAGGUAGUAUUUUGCAUUAUUCCAAAUCAUACAUUUUGGGUCAGUUUCCUGGACACAGAUUAAGCCUAGUCCUGGACUUAAAAACACUCUAAAUGGAGAAUCUCCAUUGAACAUACUUCUUAUUCCAGGACUAGGUUUAAUCUGUGAAGUAGUAAACAGGAUACAGAAUUGCAAAACCCAAACAAAUUAAAUGGUUGGUGGAAAUAUAAUUGUCUAUUCUAAGCAUUAAGGUUAAAAUACUAUAUAAACAUUAUUUCCAGAGAAAAGUUAUAUAUUAUUUGGUAUCUGGAACUGUGACCUUUCAGAUUCAAUGAAACUAAUGUUCUAUGACUGAGUGGAAUUUCUUUGAAUUGCACUUAAUUAAAUUCUACUUCCUGCCACUCAAACUCAAAUUAUACAUCAUGUGGGGUGUGGUCAAUUCAAUUAGAAUUUCAACUCAUGAGUUGAAUGGAAGUCAAUUCCAAAAUUCAGAAUUGAGCCCAACCCUGGUGAGAAUGUGUUUGUUAUUGUGUAGUUGAAUAAAUGCUUUUGAGUGUACAAUGUAUGCAUGCUUUUGAGUGUGUGUGUGUGUGUGUGUGUGUGUACUGCAAAUUAGCCUUAAACAUGUCCUUACGUGAUGCUGUCAUUAAGAUUUGUAUUGUCAAUCCAGACCCACUGUCCGUCUUACAUCGUUUCUGUCAGUCCAAUCCAGGGGAGUGUCUCCAACCCUCCUCAGUGAUGUAGUCAAGUCACUUAACCUCGAGCCUGAGUCGAGUCCCAAGUCCCUAGUAUUCUCAAGUCACGAGUCGAGUCAUGGAUACAGAUGUCCUCCGUCGCGGAUGCAGGCGUAUUGACUCUGUUCGUUGCUGGAGAAAUAGUAGCAUGAUCCAUUGAGAAACGCCAAGCCAGGAUAACAUUGUGCCUUCCCUCUCUCUUCUACGGAAGCAAUCUAAAUGUAAUUACUCACAGUACUAUAUCCUCUUAUGUUCAUGUUAAAUGUGUGUUCCCGUUUAAGAGUGCACAAGAGUUGUGGACAAGAAUCACCCCCCCCCCCCCCCCCAACAUAAAAAAUAUUUUUACAUGACCCUCUGCUUGUAUUGUACACAUUUUGUUUUACCCUUUUACCCUCAUAAUAUACACAAAAAGGAUUACUGCACCACCACAAAUAACAAUAGCUGUAGCAACCCUGUGUUUAUAAACAUGGAUAUCGACAUACCCACUUUAGCAUGGUUUUGUGGCACAGUCGAUGCCACGCAGGGCUAUGGGCCAGAAGGUUGAGGGUUUGUCGCCCGACAACCCAAAGGACGCGAGUUUGAAUCUCAUCACGGACAACUUUAUAAUUUUAGUUAAUUAGCAACGUUUCAACUACUUACUACUUUGCAACUACUUAGCAUGAUAACUAACUCUAAACCUAACCUUAACCCUUUUAGCUAACCCUUCCCCUAACCCUAACAGUAACCCUUUAACCUAACUCCUAAACUUAACAUUAACCCUAACUCCGUUAGCCGCCUAGCUAGAAUUCAUAACAUAUCAAUUUGUAAAUUCAGAUCAUAUUGUAAAUUUUUCAAAUUCAUAACAUACACUGAACAAAAAUAUAAACUCAACAUGCAGCAAUUUACAGUUACAGUUCAUAUAAGGAAAUCAGUCAAUUGAAAUAAAUUAUUGAGGCCCUAAUCGAUGGAUUUCGCAUGACUGGGAAUACAGAUAUACAUCUUGUCAAAGAUACCUUCAAAAAAGAUAGGGGAAUGGAUCAGAAAACCAGUCAGUAUCUGAUAUGACCACCAUUUGCCUCACGCAUAGAGUUGAUCAGGCUGUUGAUUUUGACCUGUGGAAUGUUGUCCCACUCCUCUUCAAUGGCUGUGCAAAGUUUCUGGACAUUGGUGGGAACUGGGACACUCUGUCAUACACGUCGAUCCAGAGCAUCCCAAACAUGCUAAAUGGGUGACAUGUGUGGUAAGUAUGCAGGCCAUGGAAGAACUGUGACAUUAUUAGCUUCCAGGAAUUGUGUACAGAUCCUUGCGACAUGGGGCUGUACAUUAUCAUGCUGAAACAUGAGGUGAUGGCGAUGGAUGAAUGGCAUGGCAAUGGGCCUCAGGAUCUCGUCAUUGUAUCUCUGUGCAUUCAAAUUGGCAUCAAUAAAAUGCAAUUGUGUAAGUUGUCCGUAGCUUAUGCCUGCCCGUACCAUAACCCCACCACCACAGAGCACUCUCUUCACAAUUAAAAUCAGCAAACUGCUCACCCACACAAUGCCAUACACACUGUACUGGGCCAUCUGCCCAGUACAGUUGAAACCGAUAUUCAUCCGUAAAGAGCACACUUCUCCAGUGUGCCAGUGGCCAACGAAGGUGAGCAUUUGACCACUGAAGUCGGUAACGACGCCGAACUGCAGUCAGGUCAAGACCCUGGUGAGGACGACAAGCACGCAGAUGAGCUUUCCUGAGACAGUUUCUGAAAGUUUGUGCAGAAAUUCUUCGGUUGUGCAAACCCAUAGUUUCAUCAGCUGUCCGGGUGGCUGGUCUCAAAUGAUCUCGCAGACGAAGAAGCCGGAUGUGGAGGUCCUGGGCUGGCGUGGUGACACGUGGUCUGCCAUUGUGAGGUCGGUUAGACAUACUGCCAAAUUCUCUAAAACGACGUUGGCAACAACUCUGGUUGUGUUUAUGUCACACAUUAAAGGUAAUACGUUUUUAAAAGUUAAAUGACAAAUACGUACAGUGCAUUUAGAAAGUAGUCACACCCCUUGAAUUUUUCCACAUUUUGUUGUUACAGCAUGAAUUUUAAAUUGAUUAAAUGUAUAUAUUUUUGUCACUGGCCUACACACAAUACUGCACAAUGUCAAUGUUUUUUGCAUUUUUUACAAAUUAAUUGAAAAUGAAAACCUGAAAUAUCUUGAGUCAAUAAUUUAUUCAACCCCUUUGUGAUGGCAAACCUAAUUAGUUUCAGGAGUA
rnacentral:lncRNA from 8 species